CAGUGUUGUUUUUGGCAGGCAUUUUAGAUUUAGUUUUAGUCUUAGUCAUUUUGACGAAAUGCUUCUUCGUUUUAGUCCCAUUUUAGUCAUUUCUAUCCUUGAUAGUUUUCGUCUAGUUUUAGUCCGACCAAAACUCAAAAGGUUUUCGUCUAGUUUUAGUCGACGUAAAGGUGCCUUUUGAGGUUCGUGGUGUUCUUUCCCGACAGUUUGAAGCAUGAGGAAGCUGUGGCUCCACAACUGUCGUCUGUCUCGUCUCCCCGUCCCGUGUUUUAUUGUCACUUUUAUUUUAUUGUCACUUGGACUGUAUCUGAAGUAGGACCAAAAAUCAU
rnacentral:lncRNA from 1 species